rnacentral:tRNA from 1 species
GCAUUUGUAGCUCAAGUUAGAGCGCCGGUUUUGUAAACCGGAGGUUGGAGGUCAAAACCCUCCUUUUUGCU